UGGAAUUACAUAUUUAUUCUAUAGUAUAAUAAUAUGUUAAAAUGAUUACAAAAUAACUGUACAUAACAAUAUUUGUCAGUGACAAAACAGCACUUUUCUAUUCUCACAAACAAAGGUUUAUGCUAACAACAGGAGUCCAAAUAUGUAAAAAAAAACACUAAUGUACAAAAGGUGUGGUAACAUGGAAUAGUACAAUAUAACGUGCCAUAAUGGUUAAAUCUGAGAGAAUACAUUCAAUACUUUAGCUUGUGGGUUAGUUUAGCACUAAAAGUAAAUCCAAAUAUAGGAGUUUUAGUAAAAAAGAACGAUAACAGGUCAAAAACACAUGGCCAGGAAACAAAACAAAAUUAUAAGGAUUAAUAACAUUUAACAAAUUUUAUCAAAU